rnacentral:rRNA from 1 species
UACGGAGGGUGCAAGCGUUAAUCGGAAUUACUGGGCGUAAAGGGUGCGUAGGCGGUUCGUUAAGUCUGUCGUGAAAUCCCCGGGCUCAACCUGGGAAUGGCGAUGGAUACUGGCGAUCUGGAGUGCGGUAGAGGGAAGUGGAAUUUCCGGUGUAGCGGUGAAAUGCGUAGAUAUCGGAAGGAACAUCAGUGGCGAAAGCGACUUCCUGGACCAAUACUGACGCUCAUGUGCGAAAGCGUGGGGAGCAAACAGG